rnacentral:rRNA from 1 species
CAGUAGCCGCGGUAAUACGUAGGUGGCAAGCGUUGUCCGGAAUUAUUGGGCGUAAAGGGCUCGCAGGCGGUUUCUUAAGUCUGAUGUGAAAGCCCCCGGCUCAACCGGGGAGGGUCAUUGGAAACUGGGAAACUUGAGUGCAGAAGAGGAGAGUGGAAUUCCACGUGUAGCGGUGAAAUGCGUAGAGAUGUGGAGGAACACCAGUGGCGAAUGCGACUCUCUGGUCUGUAACUGACGCUGAGGAGCGAAAGCGUGGGGAGCGAACAGGAUUAGAUACCCCCGUAGUCCCUGUCUCUUAUAC